UACGUAGGGUGCAAGCGUUAAUCGGAAUUACUGGGCGUAAAGCGUGCGCAGGCGGGUUUGUAAGUCGGGCGUGAAAGCCCCGGGCUCAACCUGGGAAUUGCAUUCGAGACUGAAUAGCUAGGGUACGGUAGAGGGAAGCGGAAUUUCCGGUGUAGCGGUGAAAUGCGUAGAUAUCGGAAGGAACAUCAGUGGCGAAAGCGGCUUCCUGGACCAGUACCGACGUUCAGGCACGAAAGCGUGGGGAGCAAACAGG
rnacentral:rRNA from 1 species